CCUACGGGAGGCAGCAGUGGGGAAUAUUGGUCAAUGGACGCAAGUCUGAACCAGCCAUGCCGCGUGCAGGAAGACGGCUCUAUGAGUUGUAAACUGCUUUUGUACGAGGGUAAACGCAGAUACGCGUAUCUGUCUGAAAGUAUCGUACGAAUACGGAUCGGCUAACUCCGUGCCAGCAGCCGCGGUAAUACGGAGGCUUCAAGCGUUAUCCGGAUUUAGUGGGUUUAAAGGGUUCGUAGGCGGUCGGAUAAGUUAGAGGUGAAAUCCCGAGGCUCAACUUCGGAAUUGCCUCUGAUACUGUUCGGCUAGAGAGUAGUUGCGGUAGGCGGAAUGUAUGGUGUAGCGGUGAAAUGCUUAGAGAUCAUACAGAACACCGAUUGCGAAGGCAGCUUACCAAGCUACUUCUGACGUUGAGGCACGAAAGCGUGGGGAGCAAACAGGAUUAGAUACCCGGGUAGUC
rnacentral:rRNA from 1 species